AAACUUCAAAUGAAUUGACGGGGACCCGCACAAGCGGUGGAUGAUGUGGUUUAAUUCGAUGCAACGCGAAAAACCUUACCCACCUUUGACAUGUACGGAACCCUUUAGAGAUAGAGGGGUGCUCGAAAGAGAACCGUAACACAGGUGCUGCAUGGCUGUCGUCAGCUCGUGUCGUGAGAUGUUGGGUUAAGUCCCGCAACGAGCGCAACCCUUGCCAUUAGUUGCUACGAAAGGGCACUCUAAUGGGACUGCCGGUGACAAACCGGAGGAAGGUGGGGAUGACGUCAAGUCCUCAUGGCCCUUAUAGGUGGGGCUACACACGUCAUACAAUGGCCGGUACAAAGGGCAGCCAACCCGCGAGGGGGAGCCAAUCCCAUAAAGCCGGUCGUAGUCCGGAUCGCAGUCUGCAACUCGACUGCGUGAAGUCGGAAUCGCUAGUAAUCGUGGAUCAGCAUGUCACGGUGAAUACGUUCCCGGGUCUUGUACACACCGCCCGUCACACCAUGGGAGCGGGUUCUGCCAGAAGUAGGUAGCCUAACCGUAAGGAGGGCGCUUACCACGGCAGGGUUCGUGACUGGGGUGAAGUCGUAACAAGGUAGCCGUAUCGGAAGGUGCGGCUGGAUCACCUCCUUUUG
rnacentral:rRNA from 1 species